rnacentral:rRNA from 1 species
UUAGUUAGUUGGUGGGGUAACGGCUCACCAAGACAACGAUACAUAGGGGGACUGAGAGGUUAACCCCCCACAUUGGUACUGAGACACGGACCAAACUCCUACGGGAGGCAGCAGUGAGGAAUAUUGGUCAAUGGACGCAAGUCUGAACCAGCCAUGCCGCGUGCAGGAAGACGGCUCUAUGAGUUGUAAACUGCUUUUGUACGAGGGUAAACGCAGAUACGUGUAUCUGUCUGAAAGUAUCGUACGAAUAAGGAUCGGCUAACUCCGUGCCAGCAGCCGCGGUAAUACGGAGGAUUCAAGCGUUAUCCGGAUUUAUUGGGUUUAAAGGGUGCGUAGGCGGUCGGAUAAGUUAGAGGUGAAAUCCCGAGGCUCAACUUCGGAAUUGCCUCUGAUACUGUUCGGCUAGAGAGUAGUUGCGGUAGGCGGAAUGUAUGGUGUAGCGGUGAAAUGCUUAGAGAUCAUACAGAACACCGAUUGCGAAGGCAGCUUACCAAGCUACUUCUGACGUUGAGGCACGAAAGCGUGGGGAGCAAACAGGAUUAGAUACCCUGGUAGUCCACGCAGUAAACGAUGAUAACUCGUUGUCGGCGAUAC